rnacentral:rRNA from 1 species
UACGUAGGGGGCAAGCGUUGUCCGGAAUCAUUGGGCGUAAAGCGCGCGUAGGCGGCCCUGUAAGUCCGUUGUGAAAGUCAAAGGCUCAACCUUUGAAAGCCGAUGGAUACUGCAGGGCUAGAGUCCGGAAGAGGCGAGUGGAAUUCCUGGUGUAGCGGUGGAAUGCGCAGAUAUCAGGAGGAACACCUAUUGCGAAGGCAGCUCGCUGGGACGUAACUGACGCUGAGACGCGAAAGCGUGGGGAGCAAACAGG